rnacentral:rRNA from 1 species
UACGUAGGGACCAAGCGUUGUUCGGAUUUACUGGGCGUAAAGGGCGCGUAGGCGGCAAUUCAAGUCAGCUGUGAAAUCUCCGGGCUUAACUCGGAACGGUCAGCUGAUACUGCUUUGCUAGAGUGCGGAAGGGGCAAUCGGAAUUCUCGGUGUAGCGGUGAAAUGGCGUAGAUAUCGAAGAGGGAACACCUGGAGGUGAAGACGGGUUGCUGGGCCGACACUGACGGCUGAGGCGCGGAAAGCCCAGGGUAGCAAACGGG